rnacentral:tRNA from 3 species
GCCCCCUUCGUCUAGCGGCCCAGGACGCUGGGUUUAUUCGGCCCGGAAACGCUCGUUCGAAUCGGGCAGGGGGUA